UACGAAGGGGGCUAGCGUUGCUCGGAAUCACUGGGCGUAAAGGGUGCGUAGGCGGGUCUUUAAGUCAGGGGUGAAAUCCUGGAGCUCAACUCCAGAACUGCCUUUGAUACUGAGGAUCUUGAGUUCGGGAGAGGUGAGUGGAACUGCGAGUGUAGAGGUGAAAAUUCGUAGAUAUUCGCAAGAACACCAGUGGCGAAGGCGGCUCACUGGCCCGAUACUGACGCUGAGACUCGAAAGCAUGGGGAGCAAACAGGG
rnacentral:rRNA from 1 species